CUAUCAAACUCUUGCCUAAAUCUAAUCUAAUACCGCCUUCAUAAAACGCCACUCACAGUGAGACCAUACCGCAGGUGGUACUUCAAAGCAUUGAAAUUUUGGCCUGCGAAGUACCGAAAGAGUUGAAAUCAUGCCUGAAGCCAUGCACUUUCACCAAUCACAGGUUGCGAACAAUAAGUGCAACGAAAUUUCACACAUUUCCGCAGCGCCGACGUUGACGCGCCGCCCAUUUGCAUGCAAUUAACGGUGCCUGCUGUUUGUUGCUGUCCCUGCCGCUGUCACUUUGACAGUGAUGAGUAGCUUUAUAGAGUGCUACUUUCGGAUAUUUCCUGCUAUUGAUGCCAUUUCGACUAUUGUUCAACGUAUUUUCGGACACAAACAAAUGCACAGCAUGCGGCUUUGGUACUUCCCGCACUCGAACGGCAUGACAGCAGCGGUGGUCGGAGCAGAGAGUUUGAAGUGUGCUUGGUAAAUUAGUAGUUAAGAAGCUGCGUAUAUAGACUCAUAAGCACUCGUGUACUUUUAUGUGUGCAUUUUAUUGUUAUUUGCUAACAUAUCUUAUCUAGUAGGAAAAUACUUGUACUUGCACUGAAAACGGAAUGCUUGUGGAGCACAACAACAACUUGUACUAACAGCCAGCGCACACCUGCCUAUGUGAGGGCGAGUCAUCGCACUCCAAGUGGUCGACACUCAGCUGGCAAUUGCGCAAAGACGAAUGUAAUAUUAUGUACGUAACAAAAAAAUACAAUAACAACAACAAAAAUAUACGUAAUUACCUUAAAUAGUGAAGUUAUUUAAGGUUGUUGUUUCGUUGCAUUAAGUAGUGUUGGUUAUAAGUAGUACUCACAUAUAAACAUAUACAUGCAGGUGUUAGUGACUAAGUUAAAUUUAGCAAAAAUCGCAUAUUAUUCGUUUAAUUGAUAAGCAGCAGUUUGGUUUUAUCUUUACAUAAGACUUGUGAAGCUUACUAGAAUGAUAAUUUCAAAAUAUGAUAAGCGUAGUUAUAACUGACUGUUAUAAUCAUAAAAUGUUAGGAAGAAUUGAAGAUUCACGCUGAAAGUAUUUUUAUUGAUAAGCAACCAAUCUAUUAUAACAACUGGCUAAUUAAAUAAGGAGAACAACAAUUUUCUUGAAAUAUUUUGUGGAUGUGAGGUGCCACAUAACACAGUCCUUGUAUCUAGAAGUCGCAGGAGCAUCGAUACAUCCUCACAACCGUCUUUGAAAACACAAUUUUGACAAAAACGCGUUUAAAGUUCCGAGUGACAACUCAGCUACCCUGCGGAACAGAACAUCUUCAGACUGUAUCUCCAAAACUGUUAAUGGGAUGGAUUUCAGGACAAUAUUCUGGAGAUGUUGCAGAAAGUAAAAAAAAAAAUAAUAUAUUGAUUUUUUUUGAAGUAAUCAAGCCCAUCUAAAUUUACGAAGAAGGUAACAAGCGUUUUUAGUUAAUCUUCGAAUCAUCAGCUUCUCCUAUUUACACUCUUUCGUUGAAUAAAUGCUCCAAAUGUAAUCACAAAGUUUUGUAAUCUUCCACCAACAGUAACCAAUUAACUGAGAUCAAAGGAGCUUCGUUUUGUACAUAUCAACUAUAUAAUAUAAGGAUUUUUUUUUUUUUUUACUUUUGUUAUAAUGUUGUGUUUACAAUAAAAAUAUUUUUUUUUU